rnacentral:lncRNA from 1 species
ACACAUAAUUUGGAGAAAAAUUCAAUGUUGCUAUCUUCAUUAAUUCAUCAUAAUUUACAUCAAUCUCUUUCAAUAUUGCACAAGUAAUUUUAAACUUUCUAAGAAGUGAAAGAUACAAAGAUACAACACCUAAAACCUCUCUCCAAGUAUAUAACCAAAUACUUAAUUUACACCUUAAUCUAACUUAGAGCUACCCUUAAUUAG